rnacentral:rRNA from 1 species
CCUACGGGUGGCAGCAGUGAGGAAUAUUGGUCAAUGGGCGAGAGCCUGAACCAGCCAAGUCGCGUGAAGGAUGACGGCCCUACGGGUUGUAAACUUCUUUUGUCAGGGAGCAAUUGGGUCCACGCGUGGGCUUAGCGAGAGUACCUGAAGAAAAAGCAUCGGCUAACUCCGUGCCAGCAGCCGCGGUAAUACGGAGGAUGCGAGCGUUAUCCGGAUUUAUUGGGUUUAAAGGGUGCGUAGGCGGAAUAUCAAGUCAGCGGUAAAAUCUCGGGGCUCAACCUCGCUCCGCCGUUGAAACUGUAGUUCUUGAGUACUGGAGAGGCAGACGGAAGUCCUAGUGUAGCGGUGAAAUGCGUAGAUAUUAGGAGGAACACCAGUGGCGAAGGCGGUCUGCUGGACAGCAACUGACGCUGAGGCGCGAAAGCGUGGGGAGCAAACAGGAUUAGAUACCCGGGUAGUC